GACGAACGCUGGCGGCGUGCUUAACACAUGCAAGUCGAACGGAAAGGCCUCUUUCGGGGGGUACUCGAGUGGCGAACGGGUGAGUAACACGUGAGUAACCUGCCCUUGACUUUGGGAUAACUUCAGGAAACUGGGGCUAAUACCGGAUAGGAGCUCCUGCUGCAUGGUGGGGGUUGGAAAGUUUCGGCGGUUGGAGAUGGACUCGCGGCUUAUCAGCUUGGUGGUGGGGUAGUGGCUUACCAAGGCUUUGACGGGUAGCCGGCCUGAGAGGGUGACCGGCCACAUUGGGACUGAGAUACGGCCCAGACUCCUACGGGAGGCAGCAGUGGGGAAUAUUGCACAAUGGGUGGAAGCCUGAUGCAGCAACGCCGUGUGCGGGAUGACGGCCUUCGGGUUGUAAACCGCUUUCGCUCAUGACGAAGCUUUGUGUGACGGUAGUGGGUAAAGAAGCACCGGCUAACUACGUG
rnacentral:rRNA from 1 species